rnacentral:lncRNA from 1 species
AAUAUUAGUUGUCAGUAUCUCCGACUCAGAGAUGGAAAAGGAGAUACUCCUGCUGAUGAUAAAGAGAAAAAAGAACAAGUAGAUGACAUUACUGAUGAUGACCAAAGUGAGGAGAAAGGUGAUGACGAUGAGGUCAAAGAUGCUGAUAUUGCCAUUGCUCUUGGUAUUGUAGCUGAUACUGGUGCUACAGUCACUGAUGUUAAAGCACAAGAAACUGGUGAGGAACCUAUACUUCUUAAAGCUGAUGGUGAUUCAAAGCUAUUAACAACCUUAGAGGAGAGUGCUGCUACAGCUGAUGAUGCAGUAACUGAUUUAGCUGACUCACAAGAUGGCUUAGCCGCAACUGAUAUCCCAUAUGAUGACCAUGAUGAUAAGAUAGCAAAAGAUCUAGCUGAGGAUCAUGGUGAGGUAACAGAAGACAGUCUUAAAGAUGAGACUGGUGCUGGACUAAAAGACGCUGAUUCUGAAAAAGAUAUAACAAGUGAGGGUGAGGGUGUUAUUGAGAAGCCUGAGCUAGCUGAUGAUGUUGCAGAUAAGGAAGAGCAGGAGGGAAAAGAGGAGGGAGAAGAACAGAUAAGGGGUGAAGAUGAGGAAGGUGAUGAUGCUAUUAUAGUAACAACACCUGUAGUUAGUUCCGAACCAGGUGGAGAUGAGACAACAGUGGUGGCUGAUGAAGAUGAUGGCUCUUCACCUGAGAAAGACAUAAGAACCCUGAAAGAAGAGGAGAAAGAUGAAAAGGAUGAAAGCGCAGAGAAAGUGGAAAUUGCAGAAAAAGCACCAAAACCAGAACUGAUCCCUAAAGCCGAGGAAGUGAAAGAAAAAGAAGCAGAGAAACCUGUGGCAAAGGCUGAAAAAGAAGACAAACAAAAAGAGCCCUCUCCCUGUCCUUGUAUGCAUUCAGUAUUACAAAAAGAGCCUCAAAAAGCCCAAGACACUAAACCAAAGGAAGAAAAAGCUGAACCCGAUAAAGUAAAGAAAAGAGCUAAAAGAGUCACCCUUGAGCACAAGAAAGCAGAGACUAAGAGAAGGGAACCCCUGCUUAAACAGAGAAAAGGUGCAGUAGCACUCUUUACAUCAAAGUUAUUAUUUUUUACUCAGAUCAGAAUAUUAAAUAUAGAUAGGCAUUUGUUUGUGGAAGAAUAUUGUACUGAAGUCUUUUUUUUUCACCUCCUCACUGACAUUUGCUCAUCAGAAAAAGAGGCUCCAAGAAGAACAAGACUAGAAAAAGCAAAGAAAGGUAAAAAAGAAAAAUCACAAUGUGUGCCUGCUUUUUUAUAUCAUCAUACCCUGAAAGACUUGUUUCAAAUGAUUUUUAUAAUCAUAGCGAUGAAUAUUGCAGAAUUUAAUUUGCUCUCUGCUUCACAGCUCCAAAAGCAAAGGCAGCGGCUGUCAACAUACCCAAAACGAGAAGAUCUCGAGCCUCAGAGGACAUGGAAGUGUCAGCUGCUCCAGCUCCAAUACAGGAUCUUCCUAUGUGCCGACCAACACCUGUGUACUGCCCAGCGCCACCUGGCUGGUAUGUGCAUCAUAUAG